GCAUAACAGAAAGUGAUGGAGAAGGAGAGACGUAGAAAAGCAAAAUUCUGGAAGGGAGAAAAAAUGUUCAUUUGGGAAGAAUCCGAGCAGCCUUCCCUUCAGGGAAGCCCUUGAAGGAAGAAAGAAGUUCUCAAAGUAAAUGAGGAGGAAAGAGUGUAUUCCAGACUCAGAGGGCAGUGUUGGGAGAGGACUUCUUGAGUUGUGACUGACUAGCAGCUGGGAUCAGUCCAAUUUUCCAAGAAUGUGGAGUGGAUGAAGAGGAGUAAUGUAAAACAAGCUUGGAGAAAUAUUUUGGAGCCAGAUUUUAGAAGACCUUAAGCACCAGAGCAAGGAAUUUGAACUUGAUCCUGGAGGCAAUAGGGAGCCACUGAGGAUGUUGUACAGCUCUGGGAACUACAGCUUUAAUCCCUUUAGAGGACUGCUAUCUGUCGUCUCUUUAGUUCGGGACUCUGCAGCAGCAGCAGCAGCAGCAGCGGCAGCAGCAAGCAGCAGCAGCAACGACAGGACCGAGGAGGUGGCAGAGCGCACUCCGGGAGCUGGUGGUAGCUGGAAGGAGCGAUCCCGGGAGCCUCCUCCCAGAUCCGCAGCCUGCCGAGAUGCUCCUGCGGUUCUAGCGCUCAUCGCCGGCCCUCCGCCGCGGCGGCGGAGGGAGGAGAGGCGAGCGGCGGCCCCACAACCCCAGCUGCCUAGCCUGGGUGCAGUGGACUGGCUGGCUGGCGGGCAGCAGCCAUUGCACGCGCGCAUCCCCCCCACCUUUUGCACACACACACACACACACACACACGCACACACACACGUCCACGCAGUCACAGACACACAGGCGCACAAGCGCACCACACACACACUCCCUCUCCCUUACCCUGCCCCCCCCCUUCAGCGUGCCCUCCUCCCCUCUUCCCCCACCUCCUCUCAAAGGCGCCGCUCCGAUGGAGCAGCUAGCCUGGCACCGUGCUGGCGCAAGUUAUCUCCAUAAGGAGGAGGAGAGCAAGGAAGACCAGCAUAUGUUAACGGCAGCCUGUUGACCCAUCAGCUGACGCAAGGAAGCGUUCUUUUGACUUGGGCUGGAGUCGUUGCCACCUUUAUCGGGGUAAAUGAGGAAUGGGCUUGU
rnacentral:lncRNA from 1 species